rnacentral:rRNA from 1 species
GACGAACGCUGGCGGCGUGCCUAAUACAUGCAAGUCGAACGAGAGCGACCGGUGCUUGCACUGGUCAAUCUAGUGGCGAACGGGUGAGUAACACGUGGGUAACCUGCCCAUCAGAGGGGGAUAACAUCCGGAAACGGAUGCUAAAACCGCAUAGGUCUUCGAACCGCGUGGUUUGAAGAGGAAAAGAGGCGCAAGCUUCUGCUGAUGGAUGGACCCGCGGUGCAUUAGCUAGUUGGUGAGGUAACGGCUCACCAAGGCCGUGAUGCAUAGCCGACCUGAGAGGGUGAUCGGCCACAUUGGGACUGAGACACGGCCCAAACUCCUACGGGAGGCAGCAGUAGGGAAUCUUCCGCAAUGGACGCAAGUCUGACGGAGCAACGCCGCGUGAGUGAAGAAGGUUUUCGGAUCGUAAAACUCUGUUGUUAGAGAAGAACAAGUGCUAGAGUAACUGUUAGCGCCUUGACGGUAUCUAACCAGAAAGCCACGGCUAACUACGUG